CUGCUUAUGGUGGUAACUAGA
rnacentral:snRNA from 1 species